rnacentral:rRNA from 1 species
CAAUGGGCGCAAGCCUGAACGAGCGAUGCCGCGUGAGUGAAGAAGGCCUUCGGGUCGUAAAGCUCUGUUGCGGGGGAAAAAAGGCAGCAUCAGGAAAUGGGUGCUGACUGAUGGUGCCCCGCCAGAAAGUCACGGCUAACUACGUGCC